CAAACAUGCAGGUCAGCCAGCUGGCAAGCACUGACCGGACCAAGAGCCUGAGGGACCAGGUAACUCGGUUGCUGACAUCUCUGCACAAAGUUGAGCAGGAGAAGCAGCAGGCAGUGGAUCAGC
rnacentral:ribozyme from 1 species